rnacentral:tRNA from 1 species
AGCUCUGAGGUGAUUUUUUCAUAUUGAAUUGCAAAUUCAAAGGAGCAGCUUCAAUCCUGCCGGGGCUU